GUGCCAGCCGCCGCGGUAAUACGUAGGGGGCAAGCGUUGUUCGGAUUCACUGGGCGUAAAGAGUGCGUAGGCGGUUUGGUAAGUCUGGCGUGAAAUCUACACCGCUCAACGGGUAGCUGCCGCUAGAAACUGCCAGGCUAGAGGGUGGAAGAGGAAAGUGGAAUUCCGGGUGUAGCGGUGGAAUGCGCAGAUAUCCGGAAGAACACCAGUGGCGAAGGCGACUUUCUGGUCCAUUCCUGACGCUGAGGCACGAAAGCCAGGGGAGCAAACGGGAUUAGAUACCCCUGUAGUCC
rnacentral:rRNA from 1 species